rnacentral:rRNA from 1 species
AACGAACGCUGGCGGCGUGGAUAAGACAUGCAAGUCGAGCGGGACGUUUUCUGGUAGCAAUAUCGGGAAAAGUCUAGCGGCGAACGGGUGCGUAACACGUGGACAAUCUGCCGAGAAGUGGGGGAGUAGCUCGCCGAAAGGACGAUUAAUACCGCAUGUGAUGAGGGGAGACAUCUUUCCGAAAUCAAAGCCGGGGCGAACCUGGCGGCUUUUUGUAGGGGUCCGGCGGCCUAUCAGCUAGUUGGUGGAGGUAACGGCUCACCAAGGCUAUGACGGGUAGCUGGUCUGAGAGGACGACC